UCUCAGUUCACUACAACCCAAAACCCUUAUCUCCCCUGAAGCCUAUCAUCUCCCUAAAUCCUAAUCCACAUCCUCCUUGUCUUUCUAAAAUUGAAGCCCGUCGUCUUCAAAUCACAACUGCUUCGUUUCUCCAAAACUGAAACCCAGUCGGGGGAAAUUUCUUUGAAACCCCAUCGCCAAUGGAAGGUUUUCCCCAAUGGAAGCUGAAAUGGAAGGAGAUAUAGAACAUAGUGUCCUCGAUGAUGGCGUCGUUAAGUUACCCUUUCUCUCUAUCAGUAUUAGCGCUUCUCUUCUCUCUUUUUUUUUUUCUUGUGAAAAAGCCCUAAUUAGCAAUGGAUUUAAAACCUUUUAUUUUGUAAGGGAUUGGAUGAGACGAAGAAACGAUUAAAGAAGAUGGAAUAUGAAUCUUCUGCUCUCCGUAAGAUGCAAGCCAAAGUUGCGAAAGACAUGAGUUCUGUUCAAGGUCCUCUUUUUGGUGGAGUAGCUUAGUAGAAUCAUACGGACAAAAAUUGGUGGAAUUAUAUGGAGGAUUCAUACAGCAAAGCCAAUCGAAUUAGAUGGGAUGAAGAAACGAUUAAAGGAAAUGGAAGAUGAAGUUGCUGCUCCCCGUGAGAUCCAAGCCAAAGUUGGAACAAGGCUCUCAAACUAUCACAAAUAGCAUCGACCAAGGAGGAGUUUGAAGCGCUUGGUGUUUUAUUUUCUAGUCAUUAUUAUAUGAGUACAAUGACAAUAUGAACAAUGAAGUAUUGUAUAGUAUAGUUUUUUAUUAACUUUUUAGUAAUGAAAGUAUUUAUAAUAUUUAGCUUGAGAAAUA